GUCUAUAGGGGGCGGUUAUAGGGUUUAUAGGGGGUAGUUGGACAAAACCCCACCCUCAUGUUCUUAUUCUUGAUAGUUUUAUAUAUUUAUAUACUCAUUAUUUUUUUUACUGUUUACUUAAUAAUUUAAUUAAUAGCUGCUCUCUUUUCUACUGUCUCACAAUGACACAAUGACACGCUGCCCAUCUGAAAAAAACAAACAAACUGCAACAUCACAACAUCAGGCAUUACUAAGAGCCACACCGCGAGAUCUGCCAUAGUUCUGCUGCAGGUGGAGACUGUCCGGCCUGACUUUUCUACACCACCAACCCAAACUGCGUCCGGCUGCUCUCGCUGCCCGUCUGAAAAAAAACAAACAAAAAAAAAAACUGCAACAUCACAACAUCAGGCAUUGCUAAGAGACAGUUGAACCUUGGUCACAGCUUGGUGUUCCAAAAGGACAGUAAUGAGUGACCUCAUUCUAGGAAAGGAGGAGGCUGCACACAUCACCCAUUAUUUUAAGAACCAAAUUGUCAAUCAAACCUUCCAGUGACCUCCUGACUUCCUG
rnacentral:lncRNA from 1 species